CUCAUUAAAUCAGUUAUCGUUUAUUUGAUAGUACCUUACUACAUGGAUAACCGUGGUAAUUCUAGAGCUAAUACAUGCUAAAAAUCCCGACUUCGGAAGGGAUGUAUUUAUUAGAUUAAAAACCAAUGCCCUUUGGGGCUCUCUGGUGAUUCAUAAUAACUUCUCGAAUCGCACGGCCUUGCGCCGGCGAUGGUUCAUUCAAAUUUCUGCCCUAUCAACUUUCGACGGCUGGGUCUUGGCCAGCCAUGGUGACAACGGGUAACGGAGGGUUAGGGCUCGACCCCGGAGAAGGAGCCUGAGAAACGGCUACUACAUCCAAGGAAGGCAGCAGGCGCGCAAAUUACCCAAUCCCGACUCGGGGAGGUAGUGACAAUAAAUACUGAUACAGGGCUCUUUUGGGUCUUGUAAUUGGAAUGAGUACAAUUUAAAUCCCUUAAC
rnacentral:rRNA from 1 species